ensembl:lncRNA
CUUCCUCCAUUCUUUACAGAGGCGAGGAACCAGAGAUGUAGAAUAUUGCAUAUAAUGGGACAUGUGAUCGAGGAGUUUGUUAAUUUUGCUGACCUCUUUUUGUUUGUAAUAUAGGAAGGCUCUCUGAGAAGGAAAUGGAAGAGGAGUACAUUUUGAAAUGAAUGUGAUGUAGAAACAAAAAAAUUAUAAAAAAUUUUAAAGCAUUAGUUAUUGAAAAUAUCUGCAUAAAAUAGACACAAAAAUUAAACAUUUUUACAUGAACAAAAUUAAAUUAGAAUAAAGGAAAGUGUUGAGUAGAAAGAACCAUUCAUAAAGAUCUGAUUCUGAAAUUAUCAUUUUGUGUAUGCAUAAAUAUGUGUAUCACAUACUGUACAUAUGUGUAUAUAUGUAAUACAUUCAUAUAUAUGUAUAGAUAUAUGUAUAACAUGUUUUGUUAUGUUUUGUCUGCAUUCUUAUAUCUCCUUCCCGGCUCUGCUCAUGAUUUUCUGGACUUCAAAACCAUUCCUCAGCAGCUGUCUCAUGCUAGAAUUUCCCUCCUCACUUGGGACAUCCUCAUCCAGGAACAUCUAAGGUCUAUUCCCCCUUCUUGGAUUGAUGCAGAAGGGCUGAAGGAGAAGGAAUCGAUCUGGGUCUUAGAGAGGAACAUCCAUGUGAUACAGGGACCUGUGCAAAAAUGUAGGAGACAUAAUGAGGAAAUGGGAACCUGAAAGAAGCAACUACAGAAACUAGACCUCAUUCCACAAAGAACUUGAUACUUUUGCUGACAGCCCUGACUAUUGGAGGAACAACUGGCAGAGAAGCAGGAAAAGGAAAAAAAAAAGAUAUUGAAUUAUGGACGUUCAUUCUUAAGCCUCCUUGGGUUGGAACUAUGAACUGGAAUCAACCAGUGAGGCUAAUCAUAGUAUUGGGGAUGGUUAGGUUACCAGGGAAAAUAUUUUAUAGCCCAUUACACAAUAGAACUCAGGCCUAUACUGACCAACAAAUGUUGAAUUUCAGUUAAACAGGAUAUAAUUUUCAUCCCUCCAUUUAUUUUACUAAAUCUUGACUUUGAACUCAAAACAGAAGCUUUGCAAUCUGCAGUAAUUGCUCCUAGGAAUGAGUUAGAUUUAUUAUAUCUCAAUUACACUGUGAUUAUCACUUUACAUAUACAUAUACAUAUAUAUAUAUAUUAUAUAUAUUACACCAAUGAACUUUAAGAAUACAAAACAUAAUUGAAUUAAGAUAAGGAACAAGUUGCUUGGUAUAUGGGCCAUUCUAUAUUGGAUAGAGAUUUAGAUUGAUUGAAAAAUAUUACAUUGGACAUCAAAAAUAGCAAAAUUGCAAUUGAUAAAAAUGGCUUAACUGAAGAUAUGUUGGAGGUUUUGAAACAGAUAAAUCCUUUUAAAAAUAUGGGAAAUAUGCUUACAUUUUGGCUUGUUUUUCUUACUCCUGAUGUAAAAUACAAUGUUAAUACAUGCUGCUUGUUUAAAAUUGGCUUUAGAAAUUUCUCAGCAUUGUCCACAGACUUUCAAUACCUUGAGUUAAAAGAAAAGGGGGAGAAGUAGAGGGCCACAACAAGCAGAGCCCCCAGAGGGCUAUGCAGGGGUUCACAUGCUUUCUGUGCAGCUGUGGAUCGCUUUGCAAGCAGACUCGCCGCUCCUCCAUGACCAAGGCUGAAAAUAGGACGGGCUGACCUGAUGGGUCCCAAGAAGCGCUGCUAGCACAAGAAUGCCAUCAUCCGGAAGUUAUCUAUGUGAACAUGUAAGCAUCAGGAAAGCAUGCUGGAAAAAAAAUACAGUCAUCCUGGUGAUGAAUGCAUGUAACAGGAACCAAGCAUGACAAACUAGACAAUUUAUGACUGUGUUGCCAUUAAUGGAUUGGUACUGCUAGUCUGUCUUUAAUGUUAAUGUCUAUUUAAAAUGUAAACUAAGUAAUUUAGAGACAUUUGGUGAUAUUGAUACAUACACUAGCUUAAAGAGUAUAUAAACCCUGGCUCUCAGAACAAUAAAUGGACUUCUUUGCUAAAGCACCCGCCUGUCCCAUAUCAUACUUUCUCCUCAGUGAGGUCCUGGAGCUGGUCUCAGAAUUCCUUUAUAUUAUUGUUCUGGUAUCAGUUGUUCUGCCCUUUCACGCUACAUCAGUUCAUUCCUUUCAUUAUUUCUUGCAGUACAAUUACUUCACAUUACGGUCAUAUCCCACAAUCUGUUCAUUCAUUCCCUAUUGUGUAACAGACAAUCUAAUCUAAGGGGCCCUUCUUGGAUUUUAGGUUUUUGCUUUUCUUUUUCCCCCCUUUUAGGAUCCCUUCCAGGAUUAGUAAAUUUGUUUUUGUUUGUAUCUAUUCAAACAUGAGGCUUUCAGCUUGCAGG